GACGAACGCUGGCGGCGUGCCUAAUACAUGCAAGUCGAACGCAGUGGGGACGGGUGAGUAACACGUGGGUAACCUCCCAUCAGAGGGGAUAACACUUGGAAACAGGUGCUAAACCGAUACUGAUGGAUGGACCCGCGGUGCAUUAGCUAGUUGGUGGGGUAACGGCUCACCAAGGCCACGAUGCAUAGCCGGCCUGGAAGGUUGAUCGGCCACACUGGGACUGAGACACGGCCCAGACUCCGACGGGAGGCAGCAGUGGGGAAUAUUCGACAAUGGACGAAAGUCUGACGGAGCAAGGCCGCGUGAGUGAAGAAGGUUUUCGGAUCGUAAAACUCUGUUGUUAGAGAAGCGGUAUCUAAACAGAAAGCCACGGCUAACUACGUGCCAGCAGCCGCGGUAAUAC
rnacentral:rRNA from 1 species